CAAGGAGCUGACAUCUAAACUCCCCAUCAACUGGAUGGAAAAAGGGCCCCAGAAAGCCUGGCUGGUGAUCACUUGAACCCAUCUCAGACUCCAAACCAUGACUUUGCAUCUUGAGGAAACAGACGAAAACCCAAAUAUCUGAACAACCAAGACAUGCAUCUGCCUAAAGCAUAUAAACUCAAAACCAUAUAUCUCUAACCCAGCAGGUCACCAUGAGUGAUAUCACUCUGAUGAGGAUUUCGGAGACAGAGAAAGACCGCAUGCUGCGUGAAUGCCAGCAAACACCAGGGCCGUAUGCCGCCAUGCUUUGCGAAGCAAUGAUCCCAGAGUACUUGCUGCUAGCCUGGCGCGGAAAAAUUUCCUACCAUGGAGGACGCAAUAAGGCUGCUCUCCCCAGGAACCUGAUGCAAAGGCUUUCACAGUACCUCCAGGAGAACUUCCUGGAGAUGUCCCAGGAGGAUUUCUGCUCUAUCCCCGGACAUAUUGACAGAACUUUCCAGUAGCUGCACUGGCAAGGACUAAAAACUAAAGCGCCUAGGGCAAACUAAUCAUGAAAAACCCAUUGUUAAGAUACCAUUCCUAUUCUGUUCAAAAUAAAUGUUUAACACACGUA